rnacentral:rRNA from 1 species
UACGAAGGGAGCAAGCGUCGUUCGGAAUUACUGGGCGUAAAGCGCGCGUAGGCGGCUAUGCAAGUCAGAGGUGAAAGCCCAAGGCUUAACCUUGGAAUUGCCUUUGAAACUGCAUAGCUAGAGUCCGUGAGAGGGUGGUGGAAUUCCUAGUGUAGAGGUGAAAUUCGUAGAUAUUAGGAGGAACACCAGUGGCGAAGGCGGCCACCUGGCGCGGUACUGACGCUGAGGCGCGAAAGCGUGGGGAGCAAACAGG